UACAGAGGGUGCAAGCGUUAAUCGGAAUUACUGGGCGUAAGCGUGCGUAGACGGUCGAUGUAAGUCGGGGUGUGAAAGCCCCGGGCUCAACCUGGGAAUUGCAUUCGAGACUGCAUGGCUAGGAUGCGGAAGAGGGAAGCGGAAUUUCCGGUGUAGCGGUGAAAUGCGUAGAUAUCGGAAGGAACACCAGUGGCGAAAGCGGCUUCCUGGUCCAGCAUACGACGGAUUCAGGCACGAAAGCGUGGGGAGCAAACAGG
rnacentral:rRNA from 1 species